rnacentral:rRNA from 1 species
UACGGGGGGGGCAAGCGUUGUUCGGAAUUACUGGGCGUAAAGGGCUCGUAGGCGGCCAACUAAGUCGGAUGUGAAAUCCCCAGGCUUAACCUGGGAACUGCAUCCGAUACUGGAUGGCUUGAAUCCGGGAGAGGGAUGCAGAAUUCCAGGUGUAGCGGUGAAAUGCGUAGAUAUCUGGAGGAACACCGGCGGCGAAGGCGGCACUCUGGGCCGGUACUGACGCUGAGGAGCGAAAGCGUGGGUAGCAAACAGG